CUGGUUGAUUCUGCCAGUACACUAUGCUCGUCUAUAGGACUAAGCCAUGCAUGUCUAUGUUCAAACGUACUUAAUGUGAGACUGCGAAAGGCUCAGUAAAUCAGUUAUAAUCUGUUUGAUUGUAAAACCCAUUGGAUAACCGUGGGAAAUCUAGAGCUAAUACAUGUGAAAAAUUGUAUGGCAACAUACAAUGCAUUUAUUAGACAACAACCAAUAUGCAUUGUAUUGAAUGGUAGCAAUACUGUUUGAUGCUUGCAUGCAGUUGAAUCUAGAUAACUUUGCUGAUCGUAUGGCCUUGUGCUGACGACGUUUCAAUUGAAUUUCUGCCCUAUCAACUAGUUGGUAAGGUAGUGGCUUACCAAGGUUGCAACGGGUAACGGGGAAUCAGGGUUCGAUUCCGGAGAGGGAGCUUGAGAAACGGCUACCACAUCCAAGGGAGGCAGCAGGCGCGCAAAUUACCCAAUCCAGACACUGGGAGGUGGCGACGAGAAAUACUGGAUCGUUUGUGACAAACAUGCGAUACCGGAAUGAACAUAAUUUGAGACUGUUGUCGAGAAACAAUUAGAGGGCAAGUCUGGUGCCAGCAGCCGCGGUAAUUCCAGCUCUAAUAGUGUCGUGUGACGUUGCUGCGGUUAAAACGCACGUAGUUGGAUUACGCAUGUAAGAGCGGUAUUCUGUGUAUAGUGACAUUAAAGCUUCGUUGUGUGUACGUAUACAGGAUAACGGAUGUACGACGCAGUCUGCAUUACGACUUGUAUAUAUGACUGCAAAGGGGUGUUACAAUGCAUUGAUUAUAGCCGUCUUAUGCUACAUGUAUCGUGAAUGUAAUGUAUAGCCUUAAUUGGUCGUGUGUUGUGUUUGCGGAGUGUGCCUUGAAUAAAUCAAAGUGCUUAAAGCAGGCGUAUUGCUUGAAUGUUAAUAGCAUGGAACGAACAAUUGCGAAUGCACAAGUGUGAUGUAAUAUGUAAACUCUGUUUAUGUAUAUGAUUGAGCUUGUGUAGCACCAACCAUUAAUACGGAUGUUGGUUUCCGUAUUGAGGUGAGUAUUAAAACGAGCGGUUGGGGGCAUUAGUAUUUGUCCGCGAGAGGUGAAAUUCUUGGACCGGACAAGGACUGACAAAUGCGAAAGCAUCUGCCUAGACCGUUUCGAUUGAUCAAGUACGAAAGUGAGAGGUUCGAAGACGAUCAGAUACCGUCCCAGUUCUCACUGUAAACUAUGCCAACCCGGGAUCAGUUUUGAGCUAAGUUAUAUACUAUGCUCGUGGUUGGUCCCCCUGGGAAACUUAAAGUCUUUAGGUUCCGGGGGGAGUAUGGUGCAAGGCUGAAACUUAAAGGAAUUGACGGAAGGGCACCACCAGGGGUGGACGUGCGGCUUAAUUUGACUCAACACGGGAAAACUCACCAGGUCAGGACAUUGAAAGGAUUGACAGAUUGAUAGCUCUUUCAUGAUACGGUGUAUGGUGGUGCAUGGCCGUUCUUAGUUCGUGGAGUGAUCUGUCAGGCUUAUCCCGGUAACGGACGAGACCAUUGUCUUCAUUUAGAGUGUCAAAGUAGAAGUUAUACUUCAAUGACAAUGUAUAAAGUUGAAAGUAGAAGUAGAGGUAACUCUAUUGUAUAUUUUCAAUGAUGUGCAUUUCCUUUGACUUGCAGGAUCGAAUGGUUUUGUAUUAUGAAGAGACAACCGAGUAUACAAAGUCGGGGGAUGUUUUUGUCUAUAACAGGUCUGUGAUGCCCUAAGAUGUCCUGGGCUGCACGCGCGCUACAAUGAUAACAACAGCGAGUAUAUCUGUAUCGAAAGAUUUGGGCAAUCUUGUAAAUUGUUAUCGUGAUAGGGAUCGUGUCUUGUAAUUGUUGCACGUGAAAGAGGAAUCUCCAGUAAAUGCAACUCAUCAAGUUGUGUUGAUUAAGUCCCUGCCCUUUGUACACACCGCCCGUCGCUAGUACCG
rnacentral:rRNA from 1 species